AGUGGAACGAGCAAAAGCGGUA
rnacentral:siRNA from 1 species